GACGAACGCUGGCGGCGUGCCUAACACAUGCAAGUCGAGCGAGUGAAUCUCCUUCGGGAGUGAAGCUAGCGGCGGACGGGUGAGUAACACGUGGGCAACCUGCCUCAUAGAGGGGAAUAGCCUUCCGAAAGGAAGAUUAAUACCGCAUAAGAUUGCAGCUUCGCAUGAAGUAGCAAUUAAAGGAGCAAUCCGCUAUGAGAUGGGCCCGCGGCGCAUUAGCUAGUUGGUGAGGUAACGGCUCACCAAGGCGACGAUGCGUAGCCGACCUGAGAGGGUGAUCGGCCACAUUGGGACUGAGACACGGCCCAGACUCCUACGGGAGGCAGCAGUGGGGAAUAUUGCACAAUGGGGGAAACCCUGAGGCAGCAACGCCGCGUGAGUGAUGACGGCCUUCGGGUUGUAAAGCUCUGUCUUCAGGGACGAUAAUGACGGUACCUGAGGAGGAAGCCACGGCUAACUACGUGCCAGCAGCCGCAGUAACAC
rnacentral:rRNA from 1 species